GUUGCCUGCACUGCAGCGGGCGGUCGGGUGCGUUCGAAUGGCGUACUAUGACGACUCGUAGGCGGAGCUCCACCCAGUUCGAGCGGGCUGGCAGGAGUUUGUUAUCGGCCGGCGUCCCAGUCACCAGCCGUCAAACGCGGUUGGAUUUCCAGGGACUCGCAAAUGGUGUUCGCUACAAUCCCUAUGUUUUUAUUUACAAGAAAUGUUUAUGCCGAACUUUCCAUGAUUCUGAGUUAUACACUGAAGAUUCAGGCGAAAUGUUAAUCCAGAACAUUGGUAAACUAUCUACAAAACUACAAGGUUCAUUUUCUGCCCUAGUUCACGUACCCUAACACGAGUAAGAGGGAAAGAACCUGUCGCCGAGUUACAAGCUGAUCUUGACUGAUGCUCUAACCUCGGAAAUACACAGGCCUACUCUUCGGAGUACACUCACGCUAUGGCCCAGGGAAUUCGUGCACAGCAAAAGUCAAAUGUAUUCUUACAUCACAUCACGAGAGACGACUUUAGCAGGACAAUCAAGGAAAUAAACGCAACAAUGGUAUAAGAAACUGUGGUAUCGAAGGUGUUUCAACAAUAUGACCCAAGGUAAUUAUUUCAGCGAUUUGAUACAUUAUUGUUGCAUCAUUGUAAUUCAAGGUCAUUGCAAAAGUGUGAUCCAAGAACACUUGUAACAAUGUGAUGUGAAACGCGAAAGUUAGACAGCAUGGACAAGCAUGUCAGCUUAAGCUAAACCAUAAUGAUCUCCAAAAAGCUUGUACGCUCGCAUAAAUAUUCAUCAAAGGGACGUCUCAAAAUAAAGCGGAAGAUACUUUAUCACAUGAGCAAUGUCAGCGAGAAUGUAAAAUGGUUGCAAGUUUUUCUUCAGAUCGCGGAAAGUCGUUACAUAAUUAUUACAGUUCAAACGAGUUCGUCUCUUAAACAAUUACGGAACAACAUACGCCUACAAACAUUAAAAGAAGUUGGAUCGGAAACAUCAUGUAACACACCUUCGCAAGGAAUGAUUUAUGUCUAGGGAUGACGUGCGUAUUAGCCUAUUGCCGAUAGAGGUGAGUUCAGUGAGUUAUGUUUGUGUAGUGAGGAUUUCUCGACAGAUGUUGUUGGCAGUUAAUGUGUCACGUGUUUAAUAUGAUGGCUGUGUGAUUCACAGAGGAUUCAGCUGUGAAAUUAUACGAAUUCGUAUAUGACUGUCAGUAACUCACAACCUAUACCCACGAGACAAUGUUGAAAGAUCGGACUCCAGAAGGGAAACACUAAGAAGAUCCGAUAUACUUAGUUUCGUUAAUUAACAACGCUGUUUAAAAUUAAUAGUUGGUGUAAUUUAGAAUGAGAUUUGAAGAUGAUCAUGAAUGGUGAGUGAGUGAGAGGUUUUGGGAGGAGUUGGUUGUUUCCUGCUUCUACGACUGUCUGGAGUGAGUGACAGGCUGACUGGCUUAGUAAACCGUCAGUCAGAAUAGUCGGUAACCCGAUGAAGAUUCGAAAUGAACACUCCUGAAUACAAGUUCAGAUAAUUCUCAUCAGUAAGACAAUUGAGGCUCAUACAUUUUGCAUGAGCUCAUUUUGGCUUUGUGACACGUAAACAUUAUAUACCUUAUAAUUAAAAUGUGGGUACUACGAAAAGGUGUAACAUAGCUUAGUAGGGAAAUCGUGUAGACUAAUGUUGUAGCCUACAGAAUGUUUUCAUUGUUAGCAUUUCAUUACCUCGUGCUCACUGGUUAGGAAUUCAAUUGUUCUCUAUGCAAGAGAGGAUGUAACGAAUUUAUAAUAAUCUAGAUUAUUCGUGUACUGUACCAAAGCCUGAUCUUGUAUAAGAGACGAACCCUAUCUGAAAGGUGUUGUUUCUGAUGACAGAACAAAGAAACACCUUCUCAUCAACCCGUUAAUACUUUAAG